rnacentral:rRNA from 1 species
AAGCGCACAGGACCGCAUGGUCCAGUGUGAAAAACUCCGGUGGUAUAAGAUGGACCCGCGUUGGAUUAGCUAGUUGGCAGGGCAGCGGCCUACCAAGGCGACGAUCCAUAGCCGGCCUGAGAGGGUGAACGGCCACAUUGGGACUGAGACACGGCCCAGACUCCUACGGGAGGCAGCAGUGGGGAAUAUUGCACAAUGGGGGAAACCCUGAUGCAGCGACGCCGCGUGAAGGAAGAAGUAUCUCGGUAUGUAAACUUCUAUCAGCAGGGAAGAUAAUGACGGUACCUGACUAAGAAGCCCCGGCUAACUACGUGCCAGCAGCCGCGGUAAUACGUAGGGGGCAAGCGUUAUCCGGAUUUACUGGGUGUAAAGGGAGCGUAGACGGCGCAGCAAGUCUGAUGUGAAAGGCAGGGGCUUAACCCCUGGACUGCAUUGGAAACUGUUGAGCUUGAGUGCCGGAGGGGUAAGCGGAAUUCCUAGUGUAGCGGUGAAAUGCGUAGAUAUUAGGAGGACACCAGUGGCGAAGGCGGCUUACUG